rnacentral:lncRNA from 1 species
CUGCAUACCUCCAGUUUUUUUCUGGAUCACUACAUUCCAGAUCUCGCAGGACAAGAAGAAUAGCUGUUCAUCGCAUUAACGCAGCAUAUCAAACCUGCAUGUAUUUGGGAUAUGACUCCUCCUUAGAAAACAAAAGUUUUAACCUACGACUAUACAAUGGCAUGUUAACUUUUCACCUCAACCACAGACAACCGUGCCCUAACCGUGAACUAAUGAAACAUUGCAACAUAACAAGAAAGCCUCCCCGGUGAAAUGGGCAUCUUUCCUUCUAGCAACAGACCCCAUUCAAUCAUCCCAUUCUAGCUAACACAAUGCAAAUGCAGAAAACUGUUCAAACAUAUAUUAUCGAGAAAAAAAAACAUGACUAGCGAUAGAAGUUCCACAUACAUCUAGCAGUUACAGAAGAUCGCUACAAACAUUGUAGGUAGAUGCAAAUGGUCCAACUCUUGAGAUACCUAAGCUGUAUCAGAUCAGCUUUAGACCAGAAGCUAGUUCCAACCCAGUGAACAUGAACCUGCAAAGACAGCAAACACCAAAAAAGAAAACAAAGGUGCAAUGUUCAUAACGAGCCAGCUACCGAAUGAGAAACCAAGCACCAAAGGAACUCUAACAGGUCUUCUCUAAAACAGCCCUGACUGCAAGCGAAUAGGCAUUCUACUGUAGACAUUGCCGUUAUGUCUUGGUAAACAACUCCUUUCGUUCCUCCUUGUCACAUAACUCCACCACGGUGCCCUCUGAAAUUUCCCGUUCAUCCUGCAUCAUGUUUCCUACAACCACAAGAUAAAUCACGAAUUAGUCAUGACAGAACAAAACUCAGAACAUUUCUAUUUCCCCCUUUUGAAAGACUAGAGGUUACCAAGCUAUGAACGCUCAGUCAAUGGUGACCUUCCCCAUCUCCUUCACUAUUACUAUUAGGUGUUCCUCUACCAUUUAGAACAGCAUCCUCGUCUGACGUCAUGUGUUGUGCUGUUUGC